ACGGGUGAGUAAUAUAUCGGAACGUGCCCUGGAGUGGGGGAUAACUAGUCGAAAGAUUAGCUAACACCGCAUACGAUCUGAGGAUGAAAGUGGGGGAUCGCAAGACCUCAUGCUCCUGGAGCGGCCGAUAUCUGAUUAGCUAGUUGGUGGGGUAAAAGCCCACCAAGGCGACGAUCAGUAGCUGGUCUGAGAGGACGACCAGCCACACUGGGACUGAGACACGGCCCAGACUCCUACGGGAGGCAGCAGUGGGGAAUUUUGGACAAUGGGCGCAAGCCUGAUCCAGCAAUGCCGCGUGUGUGAAGAAGGCCUUCGGGUUGUAAAGCACUUUUGUCAGGAACGAAACGGACUGGGUUAAUACCUCGGUCUAAUGACGGUACCUGAAGAAUAAGCACCGGCUAACUACGUGCCAGCAGCCGCGGUAAUACGUAGGGUGCAAGCGUUAAUCGGAAUUACUGGGCGUAAAGCGUGCGCAGGCGGUUGUGCAAGACAGAUGUGAAAUCCCCGGGCUUAACCUGGGAACUGCAUUUGUGACUGCACGGCUAGAGUGUGUCAGAGGGGGGUAGAAUUCCACGUGU
rnacentral:rRNA from 1 species